rnacentral:rRNA from 1 species
UACGUAGGUGGCAAGCGUUAUCCGGAUUUACUGGGUGUAAAGGGCGUGUAGGCGGGAAAGCAAGUCAGAUGUGAAAACCAUGGGCUCAACCUGUGGCCUGCAUUUGAAGCUGUUUUUCUUGAGUACUGGAGAGGAAAGUGGAAUUCCUAGUGUAGCGGUGAAAUGCGUAGAUAUUAGGAGGAACACCAGUGGCGAAGGCGACUUUCUGGACAGUAACUGACGUUGAGGCACGAAAGUGUGGGGAGCAAACAGG